rnacentral:tRNA from 1 species
GGUAAAAUGGCUGAUAAUAGGUAAUAAAUUGUAAAUUUAUUCAUGAAAUUUUUUUCUUUUACU